ACCGGGAAGCGGUCUCCGGAGAGCCGCCCAGGAGAGGCUAGACUUGGGGUGCGACAGUUCCUGCCUGGGAAAGCGAAGGAUGGCGGGGCCGAGACCCAGUCCCUUGUCUUAAAGGGGGCGGGGAGGAUUGAGAAUUGGCUAUAGGGCGCGCGCGCAGGACCGGAGCGGAGUGAGCCGGCGAUACGCCUGGAGAUGAAAAGGAGGAGCCGGAGCGGCGUGGGUACAAACUAUCAGUGAACAAGACAUUACAAAACAAGUGGGUGAUUGUUUAUGCUAAUGAACAGAUUUUCUUACUGUCGGCGUAUUCUUGGACCAAAAGACAGGGAUAUGGAAAGAGAGGAGAGUGCUCAUUCUGUCUGCUCUCACGACUGCUGCAACACAGCCCACCAAGCCACAUGGCAUCAUACAUCAGGCACUAUUCAUGUUUAUUCCUGAUACAGCUUUUGACCUUUCCCAAGAGUCCUGUUAAAGUUUGCGUCAGGUUAGAUGCUUUCAGGUUGCUCCACUUCUGUAUAUCCAUCCACUCCUUCCACUAGCCUGAUGGAAGUCUCAGCCUUCUUUUUUUUCCCAAACUGAGUCUCCCUGUGUUCUUUUCCUCCAUGGCCAGGUCAAUUUGCACACAGGCUUUGGAAACAUAAAACUGUGUGUCAUUCACCUGACAAUGUUCUUAUGAAGCAAAUAGACAUAAACGUUUUAAAUGCUUUAAAUGUAACAGUUUAUUCAAAGUUAAUGGGACAUACUGGCAGUCAUUUUACUCAUUCAGCAAAUAUUCAUGGAGCACCUACUGUGUGCCAGUACCUAUGCUCCGUGGUAGUUAUACAAGAGUGAUAAGAAAUUGUUUCUGCCCUCAAGGAGUCUGAUCUAAAUAUCCUUUAGAAAAUGCCAGCUUAUUUUCGUAAGUCAUGUAAAAUUGGAUAGGCAUUAAAGAAAAAAAUUGAUAUUAAAUAUUUUAUGAAUUAUACAGUCCAGUUCCAUCUUGCUUGAAGAUUGAGUUCUAAAAUCAGAAUUAAUUUGAAAAUUGAAUAAAGUGAAAAAAAAAUUACCCUUUGAGCAUUUGAAUCUCUUCAAGAACUGUCAUGAGCUCACACUCCCAAAGGUCCGAUGCUGCUGAAACAAAGGAGAACAAUUCCCCUCUCCUGCUAUCCCCAGGAGCUACACAAAGCGAGAGGCAGCAAAAUCUCCUCCACCACUAAAAUUGUUAUUUUCCUCUUUUUUUUCUGAACAAAAUAUUAAAGUCUAAAUUAAAUUUGGCUAUAUUUCAACAUCACAAUAAGGAUUAAACUCCUGAAUAUGAAGUGUACAGUAUGGGGGAAUACCUUCAAUAACUAUGUAAUAUCUUUGUAUGGUGACAUAUGGUAACUAGACUCAUCAUGGUGAUCAGUUUGAAGUGUAUAGAAAUGUAGAAUCACUAUGUUGUGUAACAGAAACUAACAUAGUUUUGUAAGUCAAUUAUAUUUCAAAAACGAACACAUUCAUAGAAAUAGAGAUCAGAGUCGUGGCUACCAGAGGUGGGAGUGAGGUGUAGGGGGACUGGAUGAAGGCAAACUUCCAGUUAUGGGAUAAAUAAGUACCAGGGAUGUAAAGUACAACAUGAUAAAUAUAACUAACACUGAUGUAUGUUAUAUAUAAAAGUUGUUAAGAGAGUAAUUUCUGAGCAUUCUCAACACAACCACCACCAAUUUUUUUUUCUAUUUCUUUAAUUUUGUGCCAUAUGAGAUGACGGCUGUUCACUAAAGUUACUGUGAUAAUCACUUCACGAUGAAGGUAAAUCAAAUCAUUAUGCUGUACACCUGAAAUGUGUACUGUACGCCAAUUAUAUCUCAAUAAAACUGGAAGAAAAAACGAUUAAGCUCCUGAAAUUUUUGGAUGGACACUUUCCUCUGAUAGGGAUGUAUUGUUGUGUAUAUUAUUAAGAAAGCAUCUGGUGGGGAAUGAGAGUUUAGAAAACUGGUGCUCUGAUGGGAAAAAAAAGAAAUGAAACCGUAUACUGUCACCCAUGAACAAUAAGUAUAUAAUGACACAUGUCCUUCAAAGAAUACAUAUUAAAAAAUUCCAAAAUUUUAUAUUUAUAAGAUAAUUAUUAUAAAGAGACUCUCAAGGAUAAAAAAAGGCAGUUUUGAGUGGUUUGUGUGAUAAAUGAUGUGAAAUAUUUUCACAUUAAAAAUAUAUUAAAAUAUUAGCUCAAUAAAGUUCAUCCUCUGUGUGCAUAGUAUUUUCUUUUUUUUUUUCUGUUCCAUUAAUUUUUAAAAAUUUUUACUGGAGUAUAGUUGAUUUACAAUGUUGUGUUAGG